GACGAGGGAUCCUAGCGUUGUUCGGAAUCAUUGGGCGUAAAGCGGAUGUAGGUGGCUUUGUAAGUCAGGUGUGAAAGCCCCGAGCUCAACUCGGGAAGUGCAUUUGAUACUGCGAAGCUUGAGUGUGGAAGAGGUAAGUAGAAUACCUGGUGUAGUGGUGAAAUACGUAGAUAUCAGGUGGAAUACCGGAGGCGAAGGCGGCUUACUGGUCCAACACUGACACUGAGAUCCGAAAGCGUGGGGAUCAAACAGG
rnacentral:rRNA from 1 species